rnacentral:lncRNA from 1 species
CUUUACCAUUAUUAUUGUUGCAUUCCCUUCUCUCCAUUUCUCUUCUUUUCUUUCUUUUUCUUUUCUGAGCGGAAUUUCUCCUCCACUCUUGGCGAGGCUGCGGGGGUCCGAUUCCCGUAAGUGGAGUCAGGGUGAAGUCCGGCUCCCGUGGGAGUCCGGACGGAGUCUACCUGCAAUUGAAGUCAGAAACAAAAUCUUGCUCCCAUAGGAGUCUGGUCG